AGUGAACGCUGGCGGUAGGCCUAACACAUGCAAGUCGAACGGCAGCACAGAGGAGCUUGCUCCUUGGGUGGCGAGUGGCGGACGGGUGAGGAAUACAUCGGAAUCUACUCUGUCGGGGGGGAUAACGUAGGGAAACUUACGCGAAUACCGCACACGACCUACGGGUGAAAGCAGGGGAUCUUCGGACCUACCGCGAUUGAAUGCGCCGAUGUAGGAUUAGCUAGUUGGGGGGGUAAAGGCCCACCAAGGCGACGAUCCGUAGCUGGUCUGAGAGGAUGAUCAGCCACACUGGAACUGAGACACGGUCCAGACUCCUACGGGAGGCAGCAGUGGGGAAUAUUGGACAAUGGGCGCAAGCCUGAUCCAGCCAUACCGCGUGGGUGAAGAAGGCCUUCGGGUUGUAAAGCCCUUUUGUUGGGAAAGAAAUCCAUCUGGUUAAUACCCGGGUGGGAUGACGGUACCCAAAGAAUAAGCACCGGCUAACUUCGUGCCAGCCGCCGCAGUAA
rnacentral:rRNA from 1 species